rnacentral:other from 1 species
ACAACCCUGCUGUGCGCGUGAUCGCCGAAUCGGGGUUCUGAGCCAACACCUAUACGACGGGAACCGAUCUUCAGUGGGGGCUGUGGUAGCCUUCGGGCAAGACAGACCCUCCUGAGUAGGUACCCACCUGCGCGAGCGGGUUCAAGAACUCACCGGCACACGGCACGGCGGGGUUUUU